rnacentral:rRNA from 1 species
UGGGGAAUAUUGCACAAUGGACGGAAGUUUGAUGCAGCGACGCCGCGUGGAGGGUGUAGGCCUUCGGGUUGUGAACUCCUUUUUCUCGCGAAAAAGGCACAGUUUUGGUUGUGUUGAUGGUAGUGGGGGAAUAAGCGCCGGCUAACUACGUGCCAGCAGCCGCGGUAAUACGUAGGGCGCGAGCGUUGUCCGGAUUUAUUGGGGGUAAAGAGCUCGUAGGUGGUUCGUCGCAGCGGUCGUGAAAGCCAGCAGCUUAACUGUUGGGCUGCUGUGGGUGCGGGCGGGCUUGAGUGCGGUAGGGGUGACUGGAAUUCCUGGUGUAGCGGUAGAAUGCGCAGAAAUCAGGAGGAACACCGAUGGCGAAGGCAGGUCACUGGGCCGUUACUGACACUGAGGAGCGAAAGCGUGGGGAGCGAACAGG